rnacentral:tRNA from 1 species
GGCGGGGUGGUGAAACGGGUAAACACAGCCGAUUUGGAGUCGGCCGGGCGCUUCCUUGACGGGGAGACGACGCCCUUGCGAGUUCGAGACUCGUGCCCGCCA